CCCUCUUCCAAAUAAUUUAAGAUAUAACCACUAUAACCAGUUUUCACUGUGUUCUUUUUAACCUUCUUCCAUGUAUGCACACAUUCAUAGUUCACUGAUUUUUUCCUUAACAAAGACAUGAUAAUUCUACAAUUUUCUUUUUUUUUUUUUAAAUCAUUUAAUAUAUGGUGUACAACUUUCCAGUUCAGUACAGGUAGACCUAUCUUAUUUGUGGUAAUUUAAAAAUAUGCCUACAAAUUAUUUGAUCCUUUCCAUUCAAGAAGUGAAGCCUAAUUCCCCACCCCUUGAAUAUGGGCUGAACUUAGUGAGUCACUUCUGAUGAAUAGGAAAUAAGGUCGAAAAGAAAGUAGUGUUGUGCAACUUUGGAGGCUAGGUCUUAAGAGUCACUGCAGGUUCUUUCUUGCUCUCUCUCUUGGAUCACUAGCUCUGGGAAAAGCUAUAUGCCAUGUCAUGAGAAAAUCUUAGCCUUGUGGCGAGGAAUUGGGACCUUCUGCUUCCAUUCAGAAAUGAGACAUCUUGCCAACAGCCAUGUGAGUAAACUGUCUUAGCAGUGGAUCAUCCAACCCCAGUGCAGCCUUUAGAUGACUGCAGUCCCUGCUGACAGCUUCACUGUAACUUCAUGAGAGACCUUGAGACAGCUACUCUUCUUCCAGAUUUCUCAGCCUCAGAAACUGGGAAUACUGGAUUUGAGGUACCUGCAGUCUUAGAGAAGUGGUCCAGAAGUGGGGCUCCCAGGUUCUGAUCAGCUCAACUCUGCCAUCAAGCACUUGUAGAACUUUAAAGAGGACCAAACUUCUAAAUCUCCAAGGCCUCAGUUUCCUUACCUGUAAAAUGGGGGCAUGAGCCUUUGUCACCCCAGUCAUUCCUUGCUGAUCACAGGUAGGUUCCUGGGCAAAUGAUAAGCAAUUAGUUAAGAGCCCUCUCUCUCUAGAUGAAAAACGUUUCAUGCGUGCCCCAAGAGUAGGACAGGUUUGGGCUCCCCCAACACGUCACGGGCUGCUCAAGUGUAAACGGCAGAGAACCAGACACACGAACGGUUCUCUAGGAGCGGGAUCUCCGGGUCUCGGCCAGAGAUCUGAGGAACCUCUGCUCCUGCAGCGAAGACUCGCGCGGCCUCCAAUGCUUAUCCAGAUCCCGGCCAGAACUCUGCCCUAGAACCGAACGCCGGGCACCCAUACCCAGGGUCCAAACUACUUCUGCCCUCCUCUCCUUGCCUUUAUUCAGUCUUAACGUGAGAGAGAAGCCGUGACGUACCCACCUACACGGGUGUCUCCGGGAUUUCAAAACCGGAGUCGCUUCUCAGUCCCGGACCCUCGAUUUUCUGCCACUCUUCCUUCAAACACAGCUCGUCCUGCUCCUGUCCGCUUCUGGCUCGGUCCUCUCGAGAGUUCACGUCACUUAACGGAACCUGAGAGAGUGGACCGGGAUGACCAAAACACUCGGUCCACACAAACAAUGGCCGCAGCCCUGCUGGACCGAAACGGAAGUCCAGGGUCUUGGAGUAGACACUUGCAGUGUUUCCAUGGAUACGGGGGGGGCGGGGCGGGAAGAGCGCAGGUGAACGUGAUCCCUGAUUGGCCAAAAGAUCCCGGCGCCUCCCGACCUUUGGCCACUGUCAUUCCUGCGCUGGAAGGCUGUGCGCUCCGGAGCUUUGGCGCUCGGGGAUGAGGCGAGGACACACCGGCCUUAAUGGAAUAGGAGUAUUCCCGAUGCUUUUAGGGCCCGGGAAGUGGGGCGUGGCUGGAGUUAAAGGGAAAUGGAGCGACUGCCUUCGGAGAAUUCUGUGACCCUCACCGCCUGCCACUGCGGAACCCGUCGACGCGACCCCACGGAAACGCUGUCACAUCGCCUUUGGUUGGCAAGGCCUGGUUGUCCUCGCUUUCCCGCGCCCUCGGCGGAAUGGGCACCCCACUAUCCCUGGCACUAGCUAGCUUCGGUCUAAACUUUAGCGCUUUUCAAAUUCCGCCCUGUUGUUGCCAGGGACCCUCCGUUCCUGGUACAGUGGGGCUUUCCUCCCUCCUGCAUUGCUGCAAAGUCCCAGGCUCCUCUGGAGACUCCAGGCAGAGAAGGGAAAUGCACAGUGGAGCUGAGAUGAAGCCAUGAGAAGAAGAGCCCCUCCUCAGUGUCCUGCGACCACAGAGAGAGUUGCAAGAGCCUGUUCUAUUAUUUAGCUAAGUGUGUUAGGAAAAUACUUUCGCAUCUUUGGGCCCUGUCCCUCACACUUGGGCUGGAUUAAUAAUAUUCAAACAUUUUAUUAGGCAAGGAACUUUUGGUAGGACAGUCAUUAAAAGCAAGGGACUCCUUGGAUUCUAAUCUGGCAACACCACUUCUGAGAUGUUGGCUGGAUUACCUAAUCUUUAAGCAUCAGCUUAACAGGCUUACUCUUAAUAGCCAAUAAUAAUAGUAACCGUUUUACAGACUUGUUAGAUUGAAAUGAGUUAGUGUAGUUAAAAUGCUUAAACCAGUUCCUGGUACAUAGGAAAUACUCUAAAUGUGAACUGUUUAUUUACAGUGUGGUGUUUAGCAGGGGUGGGUGGCCCAGUGCCUAUCUGCUUGAGUUCGCCACACAAUGAGCACCUCCAUUUUUUACAACUCUGGCGACCACAUUUUGAAAAUUAUUGGGCAUGGACCCUCCCUGGCUUCAACAUUCAGAGAGUAUAGCAUAGCAUUUUUUUUUAUUGCAUUUUAGGUUUUGGGGUACAUAAGCAGAGCAUGCAAGACAGUUGCAUAGGUACACACAUGGCAGUGUGUUUUGCUUCCUUUCUCCCCUUCACCCACAUUUGGCGUUUCUCCCCAGGCUAUCCCUCCCCACCACCCCCUCCCACUGGCCCUCCCCGUUUCCCCCCAAUAGACCCCAGUGUUUAGUACUCCCCUCCCUGUGUCCAUGUGUUCUCAUUUUCAUCACCCGCCUAUGAGUGAGAAUAUGCGGUGUUUCAUUUUCUGUUCUUGUGUCAGUUUGCUGAGGAUGAUGUUCUCCAGAUUCAUCCAUGUCCCUACAAACGACACAAACUCAUCAUUUCUGAUUGCUGCAUAAUAUUCCAUGGUGUAUAUGUGCCACAUUUUUCCAAUCCAGUCUAUUAUCAAUGGGCAUUUGGGUUGAUUCCAGGUCUUUGCUAUUGUAAACAGUGCUGCAAUGAACAUUCGUGUACAUGUGCCCUUAUAGUAGAACGAUUUAUAGUCUUUUGGAUAUAUACCCAGUAAUGGGAUUGCUGGGUCAAAUGGAAUUUCUAUUUCUAAGGCCUUGAGGAAUCGCCACACUGUCUUCCACAAUGGUUGAACUAAUUUACACUCCCACCAACAGUGUAAAAGUGUUCCUUUUUCUCCACAUCCUCUCCAGCAUCUGUUGUCUCCAGAUUUUUUAAUGCAUAGCAUUUUUAAGAUGUGGGCUUUGUUGACUGACAGAACUAACUUUAAAACCUAUCAAUCAUUGUUAUCCACUAGGUGGUGUUGAGCAUGUUGUUUAACCGCUCACCCUUAAGUUUUUUCAGCUGUAAAUUGCAAUGUAUUUAAAUAGCUACAAUUGAUAUUUGAAUUACUGAAUGCAAAGACAUUGACCAGUAAGAAGGAACACUGGAAGUGGGCUGUUCUGCCACACUGCUUCCACCCUGAGAAUAUUACUCAUUACUGUUCAGAAAUAAUCCGGAUAAGCCAUGUAAUUUACUUUUCAGUAUUCCUAGAACAAAAAUAUCAAGUGUUGGCUAUUGAUGUUAUAAUUAACUUAUCAUUUUAAAAAAAUAGUGUGCUUUGAAACUGAACUAUUUUGUAUGAAGGAUUUGAAAGGUGUAACUGAGUCUCCUGGACUUUUAUGUGUUUGAACUUAUUUUGAGAGGGAAGUGGAUCCUAGGAUUUUGUUUUAAGCAACUGAUUGUUUGCUAAUUAACGAAGAACACUAAUCCUUAAGGCCUUUAUCUCCAGACACACUGAUAAUAUCUUCUCCAUGCCAAGGUUGGUAAAUACUGGGAAAAACCGGGGUUUUUUCAUGUAAAAGAAAGUGAAUAGUUCUCCAGUUUCGUAAGAUGAAUCACAGGAAGGCUCUCUGUAAAAGAUAUAUGAGGAUUAUGGGGAAGAUGAUAAGAAAUGGCUGCCUAAAUGAACUCCUCUAUUUCCUGUUUAUUGUUGUCUGCCUCUCCUAAACCAGAGUACUGAGGUUUAUAAAGAGAAAUGUUGGGAUUGAGCACUCUCUUAGAGACCUAGUGUUAGACCUCUCCGCAUCCCUUUCCUUAUGGGCCAGAUAAGAAUGUGAAGAACAGCAUCAAAGCCUAGGCAUGAGGAGGUAAACAGCGUUUUUUCAAAAGAGCCUGGACCUCACAUCUGUGGACCAUCUAAGAGACUUCUAUAAACUUAUUGGGGUUCCUUGACUCUCAGAGGCCAUGAAGAAGCUGAACAUGUAAACUGACUGUCCCUGUGCUAAAUCUGAGAGAUUAUAAGGAGACGAAAGAGCAAACAGAUUUUCUCCAGGUUCUCCCAAAGGCAAAUGGCAGGCUUUAUGAUUCUAUUCAAUGGUCAACAGAAGUAGAGACCUCUUUGUCAUCCCCAUCUGUAUGACUGCUGCCACUUAAAAUAUUCCAUUAAUCAGACCUGAAUCUCAAUGAAGUAACCAAAAUUAAAAGAAAAAAAAGCUAAGAGGAUCCAGUUUUCAGAGAAACAAAAUGUGUAUCUGAAGAAAUAUACCUGCUAAAGGGCAGAGGCCAAUAUGAAUAAUAAAGAGCAACAAGUACAGCAUACACAAGACUUUUAGGAAUGAAUUCUACCAAGUUACAGUUUGGAGUUUAGCAGGGGUGGGUGGCCCAGAGCCUCUCUGUGUGGGUCCACCACACAAUGAACAUCUGUAUUUCUUAUGACUCUGGAAACUACAUUUUGAAAAUUAUUGGGCAUGGACCUUCUCUGGCUUGAACGUGCAGAGACCCAAAGCACCAGCUCUGAUGGGGGUCCUGGGAGCAGUCACCAGAUGCUUAGAGAUGUACCUGGGGGAGGAGUGAAGAAACUGCCUUGCAUGGGAAGAGAGAGAGAGCCCAAGUUCUUAGUUCAAGAUGUUACAGAUUUGUCAUAGCAAAAAAUUGAAGAAUCUAGGAAUAGUGUGGUGACCUAACUUGGGCUAGUCUGACUGACUCCAUUUUAGCAGUAAGCUCCAGCUUAGCUUCUCCCUCCCUGCCUCGGCCCCCACAGGUACAUUACUGGGUCAUGCUGCACUGAAAGCUUUGAACCACUAAGAGUGGUUCACACCUUUCACAGUACCUGUAACCCAUUGUAACCACAUCCUGCUUGGCAAGUCUACCUGCUGUUGUGAAUACCUUCCUUUGUGAUUGAUUGUAUGGAAAGUUGCCCUUGCUACUCCCCUUGAUGACUGUAUGGAAAUACCCUUAGCAACCAACAAUCCUGGAAACCUCCUGCCUCCUGGUUACCAGCUUCCUUAUCCAACUUGCUUGUUCUACUUCUGGAAAAUUCCACUUCAGCUAGGCUCCCCCUCCCCUACCUAAAUCAAGGUAUGAAGGGAAAUCAAGCCCCUUCCUCAGGGCCAAGAGAAUUUUGAGCAUUAGCCAUCUGUCAGUCGCCAGCUAAUAAAGAACUCUUAAUUUGGAACUCA